rnacentral:rRNA from 1 species
GAACAACACUUGGAUGUGAGUUAGUCGAUCCUAAACGGUGGGUUAACUCCAUAUACAUGAAUACUUGUAUUCUGUACCGUGAAAGGGAAACAGGUUAAUAUUCCUGUACUAUAUCAAGGAGGUAAAAUGGUAACAUAAAUGAACUCAAAUACAUCAGUAGAAUAACCAGGAAGAGUUCUCUUUUCUUCUUAACAACUUCCUCGUAAGGGGUGUAUAAUAACCAUGGAAUCAAUUUAGUUGGAGAAAUGGUUAAAGAGUUGGCAGAGUAAUUCAAUUUCUGAAUUAUCUGGUUAGGUUCUAAUGAUACAUAAAAAUUUGAGGGAAUGAUCUUACUUGAAUAGUCGUACUCAUAACCGCAGCAGGUCUCCAAGGUUAGAAGCCUCUAGUUGGCAGAAUAAUGUAGGUAAGGGAAG